rnacentral:rRNA from 1 species
UACGGAGGGUGCGAGCGUUGUCCGGAAUCAUUGGGCGUAAAGGGCGCGUAGGUGGCCCGGUCAGUCUUUGGUGAAAGCGCGGGGCUCAACCCUGCGUCGGCCAGGGAUACUGCCGCGGCUCGAGCACUGUAGAGGCAGGCGGAAUUCCGGGUGUAGCGGUGAAAUGCGUAGAUAUCGGGAGGAACACCUGUGGCGAAAGCGGCUCACUGGACCACAACUGACGCUGAUGCACGAAAGCUAGGGGAGCAAACAGG